UAGGACCAAAGUACAACUAAGCUGUCAUAAGCUCAAGGUGUAUAUAAGGCCUCUACUUAAAAUGAUCUUAGUACCUAAGAUAAAUUUAAUCCCACGAAAGCUAAGACACAAACUGGGAUUAGAUACCCCACUAUGCUUAGCCAUAAAUCUUGAUAUUUUCUCAUACUAAAAUAUCCGCCUGAGAACUACGAGCACAAACGCUUAAAACUCUAAGGACUUGGCGUGGCCCCAAACCCACCUAGAGGAGCCUGUUCUGUAAUCGAUAACCCACGUUACACCCGACCGCCCCUUGCCAGAGCCAGCCUAUAUACCGCCGUCGCCAGCUCACCUUUCCUGAGAGACCUAAAGUGAGCACAAUAGUUUACAGUCCACUAAUAAGACAGGUCGAGGUAUAGCUAACGGGGCGGAAGAAAUGGGCUACAUUUUCUAACAAUAGACCAAGCUACGGAGGGGGACAUGAAACCGUCCCCCGAAGGUGGAUUUAGCAGUAAAGUGAGAUAAUGCAAGCUCACUUUAAACCGGCCCUGGGCACGUACAUACCGCCCGUCACCCUCC
rnacentral:rRNA from 1 species